GAGAGAUGGCAGAGUGGUCGAUUGCGGCGGUCUUGAAAACCGUUGGCCUGCGAGGGUCCGGGGGUUCGAAUCCCUCUCUCUCC
rnacentral:tRNA from 1 species